UUUUAUCCCGCCACUACCAAUUGUGACCUCUCCUGACCCAUGUGACCUUCACUGACCCCUGUGACCUGCUACUCCCAGGACGGCGCACAAGUUCAUUGAGUGCAUCACCAUGACAGUUGUGGAGAACCCGAGCUGCCCCAGCGAUCUGCGUCAGAUGUGGGCCACCACAGCCCACACCAUCAGACUGUCCCUCAAGGGCAGGUGUCACCACACAAACACCGGAUCAGCCAUGAUGGACCUGAUGUUGCUGUAUCUCUGGACAGCGGUCACUGCUGUCUGCCUCAUGGGCAACUGACCUCAUGAGCAACUGCUGUCUGUGGAUACAUGGGCAACUGCUGUCUGUGGAUACAUGAGCAACUGCUGUCUGUGGAUACAUGGGAUAUGCUGUCUGUGGAUACAUGGGACAUGCUAUCUGUGGAUACAUGGGAUAUGCUGUCUGUGGAUACAUGGGAUAUGCUGUCUGUGGAUACAUGGGAUAUGCUGUCUGUGGAUACAUGGGAUAUGCUGUCAACGACAUCUACCCAAGGGUUUCAAGAUAUGCAGAUUUAUUGACAAAUUUAUUUUUCAUCGAAAUAUGUGUCUGCCUGUUAAGCGCUAAUGUGUUGGCCAUUGUGACUGUAUUUAAUGUAUUAUAACGCUACC